rnacentral:rRNA from 1 species
GAGUUUGAUCCUGGUUCAGAUUGAACGCUGGCGGCAUGCCUUACACAUGCAAGUCGAACGGUAACAGGUCUUCGGAUGCUGACGAGUGGCGAACGGGUGAGUAAUACAUCGGAACGUGCCUAGUAGUGGGGGAUAACUACUCGAAAGAGUGGCUAAUACCGCAUGAGAUCUACGGAUGAAAGCAGGGGAUCGCAAGACCUUGUGCUACUAGAGCGGCCGAUGGCAGAUUAGGUAGUUGGUGGGAUAAAAGCUUACCAAGCCGACGAUCUGUAGCUGGUCUGAGAGGACGAUCAGCCACACUGGGACUGAGACACGGCCCAGACUCCUACGGGAGGCAGCAGUGGGGAAUUUUGGACAAUGGGCGCAAGCCUGAUCCAGCAAUGCCGCGUGCAGGAUGAAGGCCUUCGGGUUGUAAACUGCUUUUGUACGGAACGAAAAGCCCUGGGUUAAUACCCUGGGGUCAUGACGGUACCGUAAGAAUAAGCACCGGCUAACUACGUGCCAGCAGCCGCGGUAAUAC